UUGUUUUAUAGUUCUAUAUAACGUCGAUCGACUGUUGUCUUCCGCUGCCAACCGGCUUCCUCGCCUCAGAAACCCUAAACCCUACCGCUGCCCAUAAACUUCGGCACCCAGGGUUCUUUACGAGUGAGAUUUCAAAAAUAUUAUUUGUAAGAACAAGAAGCUUUGGUUGGCAACGGCAGAGCUCGUCAGCGGCAUGGACGACUACCGCCUGAAGCCACCGCUAUUUUGGUCGGUGGUGCAUGAUCGCGUUCCCGACAAGAAACCGUCAUCCCCUAGGUUCUUGGAGCCCGCUCGUGCGAACCCAUGGACUCAUCUCCGAGCGCGAGUCGGACACCUUAGAAAGUAAAAUUAUUGAAACUGGGAGGGCCGCCAUCGACGGCUGAGUCGAAGGCAUCGUCUCAUUCGCCUCGAGGGGCGCGUUUCAUUCCUUUCCUUUUAUGCAAGCAGUCUCCUUCUGGUACCCGGAUUAUCAAAGUUGCUUGUUUUGCUUCAUUAGCUGAUCUUCUCACAAGGUUUGUUGACCGUGUUGUGCUCCUCAAUUCUCAUAAUUGAUGCCACUAUUUUUUAAACUGGCAAUUAAACUAGUGAAAUUCUUUUAAAACUUUUGCUUUGUUUAUAAAUUACGAUGGGACCUGUGAAAAAGAGUAGCUUGGGUACAAGCAGUUAUGAAGCCAGAGUUUAAGCAAAGUCUAGUUUCCAGAGUGUUAACUGAAUUUUAAUACGUUUAAGGCAUACAUGCGUUAUGAUUUUAUAAGCAAUUCAAAGGGGAGAACUCAGCCUGAGUAGCUUGUGUUCAGCACAUUGUUCUCUGGAUUGCCGAUAACAAGUUAGAACUUUUCCCAUCUUCUUCGGUUAGCAACUUUAGAGCCCUCGUCAAACCUCUUCUUAUAGUGAGAGUUUUAUACUUUUGUUGAUAGAAUCCACAGGCCAUGUCAAGUUAAUUAUCAUAGAAAUGUGCCCAAUUGAGGUAUUGUUUUAGUAUUAUGCGUCGACCUGUGAUGGUAACGACAUGCAUGAUACCAUUUUUCUAAAAGGUCAAAAUUUAGAGAGAUGCCAAUCAGAUGGGUCAUAUAACUUGAUUUAUCAUGUUAGCAAAACCAUUGGACAAAUGUUAGAAGAUUCAUCUUACACAAACUAGAAUAUAUUUCAUGUAAACUAGAGUAACAUUAGCGGCCUUUUGUUUUCCCAAAUCUGGUUAGAUCGGAAAGUACUUAUAAACUUAUAAGGUUAAAUUGAAUGCACCAGUUGUUUAGCUAACAGGGGAAUAAAAUGUUCUAUUGGAGAAUCUUCUAUUGUAAAAACAAACUGUACCUAGAUUCAACUAUUGUUUUAACUUGAAGCAACUUGCAGCAAUUUAAUGUACCAGUUGUUUAGCUAACGGGGGAAUAAAAUGUUCUAUUGGAGAAUCUUCUAUUGUAAAGACAAACUGUACCUAGAUUCAACUAUUGUCUUAUCUUUCUCCUAUGCUUGUGGUGGCUGGAGGUUUGAACUGCAAGAUGAGUCUUUUCUCUUAUGCAAGAAGGAAGAAGAAAGUUUUAUGAGGUGGUUUUCAAAUUUUGGGUGAUCCAAAGGGCUGUAAUUAUUGUUUCAUUUAUUUAUUGUUUGCUGUUUUUUUUUUCUUCUGUUUUUAUGUCUGUAAUCACUUGUAUUUUUAUUGUUACCAUUUAAUACAAGGAUUAAGACUUUGACUGCCU